rnacentral:lncRNA from 1 species
UAUUUCAACAGCAUAGUGAAUUGCUCUAAGAGAAAACAAAAAUUUUAAGUUCAUUUAGAACACAUUCAUUCUGUGUCAGAAACCUAUGCUGUGUCAACUAUUUAAUCACAAUCCAAAUUUAGAGCUGAAUCCAGCUUGAAUGUUGUGUCCAUACUUGCCCCAACCGUUCAGGGUUCAACCUCUGCGGUCGUAUAAAGCUACGCCCUGCGGAGCAUCUGGUUGU